GUUCCCUUGGUGUAGUGGUCUAUCACGUGCGCCUCCCACGCGCAAGGUCCCCGGUUCGAUCCCGGGCGGCAACA
rnacentral:tRNA from 1 species